UACCUCCAGCAUGAGUUUCUUCCAUAUAUAUUUGGACAAGCCCAACUGCUCAUUGUCUUCAUUUCUUAAAAGUGCUUUUUGUCAUUUAUUUAGGUUGUAUAUUGCUCCUAAUUCAAAUUAGAGUUCAAAUUAUGAUGGUUCAUCUGUUAAAGUGGAGAAAAAAUGGAUCAUUAAAAAAUAAUUGCAGUUGAUGAUAUUGCUUCAGACAGAGAGCAGAUUUUUAAAUGCUUUUUACAUUGGUUACCAGUUGUUUCCUGUCUAUCAAGAGCUUCUACUAGUUUGUGGUUCUAGAAAAGAAACUCCCCCU
rnacentral:lncRNA from 1 species